AUUGAACGUUGGCGGCAUGCCUUACACAUGCAAGUCGAACGGCAGCACGGAGCUUGCUCUGGUGGCGAGUGGCGAACGGGUGAGUAAUAUAUCGGAACGUACCCUAGAGUGGGGGAUAACGUAGCGAAAGUUACGCUAAUACCGCAUACGAUCUAAGGAUGAAAGUGGGGGAUCGCAAGACCUCAUGCUCGUGGAGCGGCCGAUAUCUGAUUAGCUAGUUGGUAGGGUAAAAGCCUACCAAGGCAUCGAUCAGUAGCUGGUCUGAGAGGACGACCAGCCACACUGGAACUGAGACACGGUCCAGACUCCUACGGGAGGCAGCAGUGGGGAAUUUUGGACAAUGGGCGAAAGCCUGAUCCAGCAAUGCCGCGUGAGUGAAGAAGGCCUUCGGGUCGUAAAGCUCUUUUGUCAGGGAAGAAACGGUGGGAGCUAAUAUCUCUUGCUAAUGACGGUACCUGAAGAAUAAGCACCGGCCAACUACGUGCCAGCAGCCGCGGUAAUACGUAGGGUGCAAGCGUUAAUCGGAAUUACUGGGCGUAAAGCGUGCGCAGGCGGUUUUGUAAAUCUGAUGUGAAAUCCCCGGGCUCAACCUGGGAAUUGCAUUGGAGACUGCAAGGCUAGAAUCUGGCAGAGGGGGGUAGAAUUCCACGUGUAGCAGUGAAAUGCGUAGAUAUGUGGAGGAACACCGAUGGCGAAGGCAGCCCCCUGGGUCAAGAUUGACGCUCAUGCACGAAAGCGUGGGGAGCAAACAGGAUUAGAUACCCUGGUAGUCCACGCCCUAAACGAUGUCUACUAGUUGUCGGGUCUUAAUUGACUUGGUAACGCAGCUAACGCGUGAAGUAGACCGCCUGGGGAGUACGGUCGCAAGAUUAAAACUCAAAGGAAUUGACGGGGACCCGCACAAGCGGUGGGUGAUGUGGAUUAAUUCGAUGCAACGCGAAAAACCUUACCUACCCUUGACAUGGCUGGAAUCCUUGAGAGAUCAGGGAGUGCUCGAAAGAGAACCAGUACACAGGUGCUGCAUGGCUGUCGUCAGCUCGUGUCGUGAGAUGUUGGGUUAAGUCCCGCAACGAGCGCAACCCUUGUCAUUAGUUGCUACGAAAGGGCACUCUAAUGAGACUGCCGGUGACAAACCGGAGGAAGGUGGGGAUGACGUCAAGUCCUCAUGGCCCUUAUGGGUAGGGCUUCACACGUCAUACAAUGGUACAUACAGAGCGCCGCCAACCCGCGAGGGGGAGCUAAUCGCAGAAAGUGUAUCGUAGUCCGGAUUGUAGUCUGCAACUCGACUGCAUGAAGUUGGAAUCGCUAGUAAUCGCGGAUCAGCAUGUCGCGGUGAAUACGUUCCCGGGUCU
rnacentral:rRNA from 1 species